AUUGAACGCUGGCGGCAGGCCUAACACAUGCAAGUCGAGCGGAUGAAGGGAGCUUGCUCCUGGAUUCAGCGGCGGACGGGUGAGUAAUGCCUAGGAAUCUGCCUGGUAGUGGGGGAUAACGUCCGGAAACGGGCGCUAAUACCGCAUACGUCCUGAGGGAGAAAGAGGGGGAUCUUCGGACCUCACGCUAUCAGAUGAGCCUAGGUCGGAUUAGCUAGUUGGUGGGGUAAAGGCCUACCAAGGCGACGAUCCGUAACUGGUCUGAGAGGAGGAUCAGUCACACUGGAACUGGGACACGGUCCAGACUCCUACGGGAGGCAGCAGUGGGGAAUAUUGGACAAUGGGCGAAAGCCUGAUCCAGCCAGGCCGCGUGUGUGAAGAAGGUCUUCGGAUUGUAAAGCACUUUAAGUUGGGAGGAAGGGCAGUAAGUUAAUACCUUGCUGUUUUGACGUUACCAACAGAAUAAGCACCGGCUAACUUCGUG
rnacentral:rRNA from 1 species